rnacentral:misc_RNA from 1 species
UUUAGGUGUUCAAUAGGUUACAAAUUUAGUACAAGUGUUUGAUAGGUUAAUCCUAAAUAGUAUAGGGGUGCAAGUAUGUAUUUGGCCAUCACACUUCUUAUUUCACAAUAUAUGUAGCAAAACUAGCCACAGAUUAAGUUCUCAUAGGAGGAUAUUUCAACUAUUAAUCUCAACAAACAAAACCAUACCAGAUAAUGGCUACUUAAGGAUAAUAAAAAAGAAUCGCUUUAUAUUAAAUAGCAAAUACUGGUGUUCCUAGGGCAUAUAUAUGGAGUUUUGUAGAAUAACCAUAACCAUCACCAUUACCAUUAUCCAGCUGAGCUAUUGAUUAGUGUAGCUGAUCAGUUUCCUGAGGCUAAUGACAAAAAUAAUCAGGUUCAACGCUUAGAAUUAUAACCAUUAGCAUAAUAAUUACUUAGAUUACUGCAGUACAUCAGAUUCAAAAGGCUAAGUUAAUCAUUUGAUAACUUCCAAGUCUUCAACUGUUGUAGAACUUUGUUUGUAAGCAACUUCACAUCACCACCAGGCUUCAAGAUUUGACGAUUAUAAGA